GCUUUGGAGCUGAGCCGCUGU
rnacentral:misc_RNA from 1 species